ACACACAUAUACACAGUGUACGGUGCACAGGGACACAGAGACAGAGUGGAUUCAUACAAAGGAACCAUGUUCAGUGUGGGUUUGUGUUUUGUGGUCUUGUUCCUGCGUGUCACCUGUGUGGAGGAUGCAGCGUCAGAGAUUUUAUGGGGGAAGACGGUGGUCCUUGAACACACAAGCUGCCAGUUUUGGAGUCUGAAUCCAAAUGCGUCUGUUCCGUCUCUGUCUGAGUUCACGGUCUGUGUGAACAUUCAGAGGAGCAUCAACAGCUCAGUGUGGAGCGCCUUCACCUACCUGCACCCUGACCGCAGCCGGGUGGAGCUUGGGUUCGGCGGACGCGUGCUGCAGCUGCAGGUCCGUCUGUUCGGGAGGAGCUGGGUGACG